AGAAUUUUAAGUUAGCAAACUAAAGACCUUCAAAGUCUUAAUCAGAGGUUUAAUCCUCUAAAUUCUA
rnacentral:tRNA from 1 species